GACGAACGCUGGCGGCGUGCCUAACACAUGCAAGUCGAACGGAGAUACGAUUUCGGUUGUAUCUUAGUGGCGAACGGGUGAGUAACGCGUGAGCAACCUGACUCUUAGGGGGGGAUAACACUCGGAAACGGGUGCUAAUACCGCAUAAGACCACGACAUGGCAUCAUGACGAGGUCAAAGGGGCAAUCCGCUGAGAGAGGGGCUCGCGUCCCAUUAGAUAGAUGGCGGGGUAACGGCCCACCAUGUCGACGAUGGGUAGCCGAGCUGAGAGGCUGAUCGGCCACACUGGAACUGAGACACGGUCCAGACUCCUACGGGAGGCAGCAGUGGGGAAUAUUGGGCAAUGGGCGCAAGCCUGACCCAGCAACGCCGCGCGAGGGAAGAAGGCUUUCGGGUUGUAAACCUCUGUCCUUGGUGACGAAACAAAUGACGGUAGCCAAGGAGGAAGCCCCGGCUAACUACGUGCCAGCCGCCGCGGUAA
rnacentral:rRNA from 1 species